AAUGGCUCAUUAAAUCAGUUAUCGUUUAUUUGAUAGUACCUUUUACUACAUGGAUAUCCGUGGUAAUUCUAGAGCUAAUACAUGCUAAAAACCCCGACUUUUGGAGGGGUGUAUUUAUUAGAUAAAAAACCAAUGCCCCUCGGGGCUCCUUGGUGAUUCAUGAUAACUCAACGGAUCGCAUGGCCUUGCGCCGGCGACGGUUCAUUCAAAUUUCUGCCCUAUCAACUUUCGAUGGUAAGGUAUUGGCUUACCAUGGUUUCAACGGGUAACGGGGAAUUAGGGUUCGAUUCCGGAGAGGGAGCCUGAGAAACGGCUACCACAUCCAAGGAAGGCAGCAGGCGCGCAAAUUACCCAAUCCCGACACGGGGAGGUAGUGACAAUAAAUACUGAUACAGGGCUCUUUUGGGUCUUGUAAUCGGAAUGAGUACAAUUUAAACCCCUUAACGAGGAACAAUUGGAGGGCAAGUCUGGUGCCAGCAGCCGCGGUAAUUCCAGCUCCAAUAGCGUAUAUUAAAGUUGUUGCAGUUAAAAAGCUCGUAGUUGAACCUUGGGCCUGGCUGGCCGGUCCGCCUCACCGCGUGUACUGGUCCGGCCGGGCCUUUCCUUCUGGAGAGCCGCAUGCCCUUCACUGGGUGUGUCGGGGAACCAGGACUUUUACUUUGAAAAAAUUAGAGUGUUCAAAGCAGGCCUUUGCUCGAAUACGUUAGCAUGGAAUAAUAGAAUAGGACGUGCGGUCCUAUUUUGUUGGUUUCUAGGACCGCCGUAAUGAUUAAUAGGGAUAGUCGGGGGCAUCAGUAUUCAAUUGUCAGAGGUGAAAUUCUUGGAUUUAUUGAAGACUAACUACUGCGAAAGCAUUUGCCAAGGAUGUUUUCAUUAAUCAGUGAACGAAAGUUAGGGGAUCGAAGACGAUCAGAUACCGUCGUAGUCUUAACCGUAAACUAUGCCGACUAGGGAUCGGGCGAUGUUUCUAUCUUGACUCGCUCGGCACCU
rnacentral:rRNA from 1 species